GCCCCCGUAGCUCAGCUGGAUAGAGCAGCGGCCUUCUAAUCCGCAGGUCCCCCGUUCGAAUCGGGGCGGGGGUG
rnacentral:tRNA from 1 species